UACUAACAGAGCAAUGAGAAUGUAUUUGUUACACACAGGCCGUACUAACAGAGCAAUGAGAAUGUAUAUGUUCCACACAGAUAGUACUAACAGAGCAAUGAGAAUGUAUUUGUUACACGCAGGCCGUACUAACAGAGCAAUGAGAAUGUAUUUGUUACAUACAGGCCGUACUAACAGAGCAAUGAGAAUGUAUAUGUUCCACACAGGCCGUACUAACAGAGCAAUGAGAAUGUAUUUGUUACAUACAGGCCGUACUAACAGAGCAAUGAGAAUGUAUAUGUUCCACACAGAUAGUACUAACAGAGCAAUGAGAAUGUAUAUGUUACACACAGAUAGUACUAACAGAGCAAUGAGAAUGUAUAUGUUACACACAGGCCGUACUAACAGAGUAAUGAGAAUGUAUAUGUUACACACAGGCCGUACUAACAGAGUAAUGAGAAUGUAUAUGUU